rnacentral:rRNA from 1 species
GACGGAGGGUGCAAGCGUUGUUCGGAUUGACUGGGCGUAAAGGGCGUGUAGGCGGUUCGUUAAGUCGGGUGUGAAAGCCCGGGGCUCAGCUCCGGAAGUGCGCCCGAAACUGGCGAGCUGGAGCGCGGUAGAGGAGGGUGGAAUUCCUGGUGUAGCGGUGAAAUGCGUAGAUAUCAGGAGGAACACCGGCGGCGAAGGCGGCCCUCUGGAUCGUUGCUGACGCUGAGACGCGAAAGCGUGGGGAGCAAACAG